rnacentral:rRNA from 1 species
GAUGAACGCUGGCGGCGUGCCUAAUACAUGCAAGUCGAGCGAACGGACGAGAAGCUUGCUUCUCUGAUGUUAGCGGCGGACGGGUGAGUAGCACGUGGAUAACCUACCUAUAAGACUGGGAUAACUUCGGGAAACCGUAGCUAAUACCGGAUAAUAUUUUGAACCGCAUGGUUCAAAAGUGAAAGACGGUCUUGCUGUCACUUAUAGAUGGAUCCGCGCUGCAUUGGCUAGUUGGUAAGGUAACGGCUUACCAAGGCAACGAUGCAUAGCCGACCUGAGAGGGUGAUAGGCCACACGGGAACUGAGACACGGUCCAGACUCCUACGGGAGGCAGCAGUAGGGAAUCUUCCGCAAUGGGCGAAAGCCUGACGGAGCAACGCCGCGUGAGUGAUGAAGGUCUUCGGAUCGUAAAACUCUGUUAUUAGGGAAGAACAUAUGUGUAAGUAACUGUGCACAUCUUGACGGUACCUAAUCAGAAAGCCACGGCUAACUACGUG